UAUAUGGGACGACUCCAAUCCUAUUCAAAACUUUUUACUUCCAAACAAUUUCUUCCUUAUCGAUUGCUUCGUUCAGCCAGAAUCUUGUUCGACUGUAUCCAAAACAAUCAAAUUCAACGUAUUUCUCCUUUUUGAUUAAUCCAUUUAGAUUUUAAUACUUUGUUCCCCUUUUCACUGAUCUAGGUUUUUUUCCGAGCGGUGAAUUGAAUCUAGAAUCAAGAUGUACAACGGAAUAGGGUUACAAACUGCAAGAGGUUCUGGAACAAAUGGAUAUGUUCAAACCAAUAAAUUUUUGGUUAGAACGAAAACAUCAAGAGUCGCUGUUGAUGGAAACAAAGGGUAUGGGCCUGAUCAAGGUAUGGGUGGUAUCAGCAAAAAGGCCAAUAAGGAGAUUUUGGAACACGAUCGCAAGCGUCAAAUUGAGCUAAAGCUUGUGAUUUUGGAGGAUAAGCUAAGCGAACAAGGGUAUACUGAUGCUGAGAUUGCUGAAAAGUGUGACGAGUUGAGGCAAAAACUUGAGAGCGAGGCGGCUGCUGCUACGGAUCAUGAUAGUGUUCGUGCUGUUACGAAUACGAAGGCAUCAGAUACAGAAACUCACCAAAUCGCAGCUAGGAAGGAGAAGAAAAUGGAGCAAUUGAGACUUGCUCUUGGGAUUGUUGAACACAAUGGCGAUGCAAUGGGCAAAGUGAAUGACCUAGAUAUUGACAACGGUGAUGACAGCAGUGACAGAGAAGAAGGUGAAAUUUUGCAUGGUGAUGGGAAUGUUAAAACAGAGAAGAUGUACCAAGUUGAAGAGAGAACCAAGGGUCGUGAAGUAAAAUCAAAAAAGGAAGAGAAACGAAGAAGACAUGGAAGUGAGUCUUCGGAGAAUAGUGAUGGGAGUGAUUCAGGAACUGAUUCUGAUCGAGAAACGAAGAAAGAGCAAAAAACUAGCAGGUUGUUGAAGAAAAAUGUCUCUGAUUACGAAUCUGACACUGAUAGCAGCAAGUCUUAUAGCAGCGGUCAAAAGAAUAUAGGCAGACGCUCUAAAGUGUCGAAAAGGCAUGAUUCGGGCCGUGAUCAUAGCAAAGGAUCACCUGAAAAUAGAACCAUAAAAUCAAAGCAGCUUUCUACUAGAAGUAGGCAUGGCUUUAACAGUGAGCAUGAUACCUACGGAAAAAGCUCUGAUAAGUCUGGUCGAGGUACAAAGUCUGUGGUGUUAGAACCAGAGAGAAGUCAAAGAAGUAGGAGGUAUGAUACUGAUGAGGAUGCUGAUUCUGACCAUGAAGGAAGAAAGGAGAACAGUCGUAGAAGAACUAGGCAUGGGUCUGAAGAUGAUGAUUCUGAUGUUGAUGUGAAACAAAAUGAACUUGUGAAAAAUAAAGAGAAACAAUCAAAUUAUCUGAAGAGCAAAACAGACUUGAAGAUGAGAGAACGUAGGAGAUAUGAUACUGUUGAGGAUGAAGAUUCUGAUCAUGAAGGAAAAAGGGAGAAGAGUCGUAGAAGGGCUAGGCAUGAUUCUGAAGAUGAUAAUUCUGAUGUUGAAGCUAAACGAAACGAACUUGUGAAACAAAAAGAGAAGCAAUCAAGGUAUCCUAAGAGUGCAGCAGAUGUGAAGACGAGAGGAAGUAGGAGGUAUAAUACUGAUGAGGAUGCUGAUUCUGAUCAUGAAAGAAAAAGGGAGAAAAGGGCUAGGCAUGAUUCUGAAGAUGAUGAUUCUGAUGUUGAAGCAAAACAAAUUAAACUUGUGAAAGAAAAAAAGCAAUCAAGGUAUCUGAGGAGCGAAGCAGACCUAAAGAUGAGUAGACGUAGAAGGUAUGAUACUGAUGAAGAUGCUGAUUCUGACUAUGAAAGAAAAGGAGAGAAAGGUCGUAGGAGGGCUAGGCAUGAGUCUGAAGAUGAUGAUUCUGAUGUUAAGGCGGAAAAAAAUGAUCUUGUGAAAGAAAAAGAAAAGCAAUCAAGGUAUCCUAGGAGCACAGCAGAUGUGAGGAUGAGAGGAAGUAGGAGGUAUGAUACUGAUGAGGAUGAGGAUGAGGAUUCUGAUCAUGAAAGAAAAAGGGAGAAGAAUCGUAAAAGGACUAGGCAUGAUUCUGGUGAUGAUGAUUCUGAUGUUGAAGCGAAACAAAAUGAACUUGUGAAAGAUAGAGAGAAGCAAUCGCGGUAUCUGAAGAGCAAAGCAGACUUAAAUAUGAGAGGAAACGAUAAGGAGUAUGACAGUUAUAACAAAUAUGGUGAUGACUGGAAAAUACAUACUAGGAAUGAAGCUGGACAAAGUCAUACAAAGCGUGAGAAACCAGAGGAAGUUGAUGGAACUAGGAGACAUGAAAGGAGAGAAGAUGUAAAUGUGAGGAGGCAUGAAAAUAGGGAGGACAGCUUGCAAGGAAGCAGAAAGCAGGAAAGGAAGGAAAAUAUUGAUCAAGAAAGGAGGAAAGCGGGAAAGGACCUAGAGGACUAUGAUGAGAGAAAGAUGGAGAAGAAGGAAAAAGAAAUGCAUGAAAGAAGAGGACGGGAAAGAAAGGAUGAGGAUGAGUUAAGAAAGAGAAAGAUGGAAAGGAGAUCAGAUGGUGAUGAGCAAAGGAAAAGGCUAGAAGAUAGGGAGGAGGAGGAUUAUAGAAGUAAAAGGCGUGAAAGAAGGGAGGAGAGUGAGCAGGGAGUAAGAAAGAGAGAAAGUAGGGAAGAUGAUGGGAAGCAAGGAAGGAAUUGGGAGAAGAGAGAUGAAGACGAGUAUUUUAGCCGAAAACGAGGGAGAGGCGGGGAAGAGCUGGAAGUAAGCAAGUCGGAAAGGCGGGAAGAAGAGGGUAGGGAAGGUAAAUAUAGGGAUAGAACAGAGCGAGAGGGAAAAAGUACAACUGACAGAAAGGAUCCAGAGAAGCAUGAACGUAAAGUUAGGGAGAGGUUUGAGGAAGAAGAUAGUAAAAGGAGAAGGCAUGACAAAGAAGAUUCACCCAGGAGGCAUGAGAAAAGCCGAUCUGAUGAUGUUCGUUGGCGACGUUAAUGAUAUGGGAGUUGUGAGGCCGUGAUCUUAGGUAUAGCAAUGUGUGUGUUGAUCAAGCCAAAGUAAGGGGGCAGUUGGACAAGCUAGGUAGGUCAAAUGUCGAUGUUCAACUGAUGCCUUGACACUGAUUGUACUUCUUCUCCGACAAAUUUGGCUUCUUUUCGUGGUUGUAACUCCAGCCUUUCAGGCUAUAUGUAAAUGUUACCUGCUUUAGUGCUUUUGUAAUGCUUAUUGUGAGCUCGGGUUGUUUGUACUGAGACAUUGACUGGUCCGGUUUUUCCUACAAAUAUGCAUUUUAUCUAGAAUGUUAGUGUUCAUUUACUUACGUGUAACCAAAAUUUUGGCUUUCCUUAUUAUGGAGUGAGUUGUUCAGAAACUUUGAUCUGAAUCAACGUUAUAAGGUGUUUCUGUAGCCGCUGUUUUGCAAAUAUCACUUGUCAAGUGCAAAUGGCAAUAUCUCAACAUAAACAAUGAAUGAAGCCUACAAAAGUUUGAUGUACCAAUGUAUUGUGAUAUGUGAUGCUCAUUUAGAUUCCCA